rnacentral:rRNA from 1 species
GCUGGCGGCAUGCCUUACACAUGCAAGUCGAACGGUAACGCGGGGCAACCUGGCGACGAGUGGCGAACGGGUGAGUAAUGCAUCGGAACGUGCCCAGUAGUGGGGGAUAGCCCGGCGAAAGCCGGAUUAAUACCGCAUACGACCUGAGGGUGAAAGCGGGGGAUCGCAAGACCUCGCGCUAUUGGAGCGGCCGAUAUCAGAUUAGGUAGUUGGUGGGGUAAAGGCCUACCAAGCCUACGAUCUGUAGCUGGUCUGAGAGGACGACCAGCCACACUGGGACUGAGACACGGCCCAGACUCCUACGGGAGGCAGCAGUAAGGAAUAUUGGUCAAUGGACGAAAGUCUGAACCAGCCAUGCCGCGUGAAGGAUGAAGGCCCUCUGGGUUGUAAACUUCUUUUUAUAGGGGACGAAAAAAGGGAAGUUACUUUCCCUACCUUGACGGUACCCCUUAGGAAUAAAGCACCGGCUAACUCCGUGCCAGCAGCCG